UACGUAGGGUGCAAGCGUUGUCCGGAAUUAUUGGGCGUAAAGAGCUCGUAGGCGGUUUGUCGCGUCGAAUGUGAAAUCCCGGGGCUCAACCCCGGGUCUGCAUUCGAUACGGGCAGACUAGAGUUCGGUAGGGGAGUCUGGAAUUCCUGGUGUAGCGGUGAAAUGCGCAGAUAUCAGGAGGAACACCGGUGGCGAAGGCGGGACUCUGGGCCGAUACUGACGCUGAGGCGCGAAAGCUAGGGGAGCGAACAGG
rnacentral:rRNA from 1 species